CGGGAUGUAGCGCAGCUUGGUAGCGCACCUCGUUCGGGACGAGGGAGCCGCACAAAUCCUGUCAUCCCGA
rnacentral:tRNA from 1 species